rnacentral:tmRNA from 1 species
GGGGCUGACCGGUUUCGACGUCGGGACCAGGAGGCCGCGGAGUGCGACCGGAGUUGCUCAGACUCCCUAAACGGGGCAACCAAAGAGACGCCGAAGACGACGCUCUCGUUCUCGCCGCCUGAUCAGACCUGAUCUAGCAGCGAGAAUCAUCGCGACCAGCAAUGGCACGCGGGGCCGGACCGCUGCAGCCUGGCACCAGAAGCAGGGGUGGACGACGGGGAGAGACCCGCUGACAGCCGGCAAAGACCGCUGACACCGGAGAAAGAUCCGGCGGCCGGAUCCUCGGAUCCGCACGACCCGGCGUAGCGGCAGCCGCGAGCCGCAGACUCGGGAAUGGUCGUAGCGAGCCCGGCAUCCGCCUGACGGACGGGAGUUCGAUUCUCCCCAGCUCCACCA